AGUGAACGCUGGCGGUAGGCCUAACACAUGCAAGUCGAACGGCAGCACAGGAGAGCUUGCUCUCUAGGUGGCGAGUGGCGGACGGGUGAGGAAUACAUCGGAAUCUGCCCAGUCGUGGGGGAUAACGUAGGGAAACUUACGCUAAUACCGCAUACGACCUUCGGGUGAAAGAGGGGGAUCGCAAGUCCUCUCGCGAUUGGAUGAGCCGAUGUCGGAUUAGCUAGUUAGCGGGGUAAUGGCCCACCAAGGCGACGAUCCGUAGCUGGUCUGAGAGGAUGAUCAGCCACACUGGAACUGAGACACGGUCCAGACUCCUACGGGAGGCAGCAGUGGGGAAUAUUGGACAAUGGGCGCAAGCCUGAUCCAGCCAUACCGCGUGGGUGAAGAAGGCCUUCGGGUUGUAAAGCCCUUUUGUUGGGAAAGAAAUCUUUCAGGCUAAUACCCUGGGAGGAUGACGGUACCCAAAGAAUAAGCACCGGCUAACUUCGUG
rnacentral:rRNA from 1 species